rnacentral:rRNA from 1 species
GUGAACGCUGGCGGUCGGCCUCACCCCUGCAAGUCGAACGGCAGCACAGUAAGAGCUUGCUCUUACGGGUGGCGAGUGGCGGACGGGUGAGGAAUACAUCGGAAUCUACUUUUUCGUGGGGGAUAACGUAGGGAAACUUACGCUAAUACCGCAUACGACCUACGGGUGAAAGCAGGGGAUCUUCGGACCUUGCGCGAUUGAAUGAGCCGAUGUCGGAUUAGCUAGUUGGCGGGGUAAAGGCCCACCAAGGCGACGAUCCGUAGCUGGUCUGAGAGGAUGAUCAGCCACACUGGAACUGAGACACGGUCCAGACUCCUACGGGAGGCAGCAGUGGGGAAUAUUGGACAAUGGGCGCAAGCCUGAUCCAGCCAUACCGCGUGGGUGAAGAAGGCCUUCGGGUUGUAAAGCCCUUUUGUUGGGAAAGAAAAGCAGCAGGUUAAUACCCCGCUGUUCUGACGGUACCCAAAGAAUAAGCACCGGCUAACUUCGUG